CGGCAGACCGUCCGACUGCGCUACACGCAAAUUAGUCUUGUCCGAUCAAUGAUGGUUCAAUCACCAUCGUAUGCAUUUUGUAAUGGCGUCACCAAACACAUAAAUAGUAAUGAAUUCUAACCAUACGCGAGAUGACAGUUGUGUGAGUGUGUUAAACGGAGUACAAAAAUAAUGCGAUGCACUGGGCAGGAAAAACGCGACGCGCACUAUAACUGCUAUGGCGCGGAGACAAUAAUAAUACGUAAGUAUAAUAUUCAACGAUUCCUGGCACUAAACCGACACAACGGCCGCGGGUGGAGACGAACGCAAAUGAAUCUGUCUAUCAAUCCACGAAUAAUCACGAUCCUUACACACAUACUAUGAAGCGCACGGAGAGAGAAAGUGAAAGCAGUUUACCUUGGUAACAUACGGCGACCUCCUAGCAAAAAAAAAAAAAAUAUAAUAAUACAUUAAUACAUAUAGUGGUUUCUGACUACGGUUAAAUACCACUAUAUGUAUAUAAUAUCAAACGAUAGGAUGUCCACUUUCGUAUGGACGUAGCGGUAUAAUCGUGCAGCAGAAUGAUGUACGCGUGACCUAACUUAUAGCUUGUCAAAUUAAAUUCAACCGUUCGAAUUACUAACAUCAGAGCACCGGAAAUAAGUUUAAAUACUUUUGUGGGGGUACGGGAUUCUUGAAACAUUUUAUGGCUAAGCUUUUAUACAUUACUGUCUCGAGAUGUUUUCACGAAAAAAAAACUACCAGACAUUAUUGCCAAUUUUUCACGGUGGAAACAGAAACGCGAAAUAGGACAAAUAUACUAAAAUAAUGAGUAAA